UUUCGAGAUUAGAAAAGAAUGUCGAGUAUUUCACAGUGAGCCACUAUGGGGUAACGAGGUUUGCUCCCUACAGUCAGCCAGAAACUACGUCACACGAGAAAUGGAACCAAGAAACGCAGGUUUACAAAAAGCUAAAAAAGCUGAAGCUCUUCGCCACUUUCAUCGUUUGGCGAGCGUUUCGCAACUGGCGCAAAAGUAUCAUGACCACCAAACUCGACAUUUUGUACAAAACACUGCCAUCUAAGGUUUUGUGGUACGAUGCUGCCCUAGGUCCUGCUCUUCAAACUUGCAAAGAAAUCUGCUGCAAACUGAAAAUGAUGGGACUCGGGAAAGAACUCAAAGCUGAGCCACUGAGUCUGGUUCAGCUAUUAGAUGACCAGAUCCAAAACUUGAAAGAGAUAAGGAGUCUCUUUUCAGUAUUGAGAGAAACAAUUCAAGAUCAGUUGCUGGCGUCUUGCAAAUAUGCAAUGAGCUUUGAAGGUUUGCCAACAACGGCCUCGAGUACUCGUCCAAGCUCUGUUAUAUC